rnacentral:rRNA from 1 species
CAAGGUGAGCGAUACGGAGGUAGAGCUCUGAAUGUCCUAGGGGGUAUUGCACCUUCCGAAGACUAUCAAACUCCGAAUGCCGUCAUCUUAUACUUGGGAGUCAGACUGUGGGUGAUUAGAUUCAUAGUCGAAAGAGCAACAGCCCAGAUCGUCAGCUAAGGUCCCUAAAUGUAAGUUAAGUGGUAAAGGAUGUGGGAUUGCACAGACAACCUGGAUGUUGGCUUAGAAGCAGCCUCUUUUUCAAAGAGAGCGUAAUAGCUCACUGGCCGAGUGAUUCUGCGCCGAAGAUCUCUGGGGCUAAAACUUACUACCUAUAUUUCGGUAUCCGUAAUUAUGGGUAGGGGGGCUUCCCCUUCGGGUUUAAGUAUGUUCGUAAGGAGCAGUGGAUAGCAUGGGAGUG